CCUCCUUCCCGGCUUAGAGCCUGGAGGCGGGCCCUGUCCUCCCCCUGGGGAAGGGGAAGGCCAGUGCCUCCUUUUCUGGUCCAGCUAGUUCCGACCCGGGAACAGCUGGCCAAGUCUCCAUUUGUAGAGCUUUCGUCAUAAGACAAAGGGAGAAAGGGUGGACGUUUCCCAGGAAAUUCAUGCUUUAGAAAAUUCCCCUCCAGCUAAUGCCAAGGGAGCUGGCUGUGGGUUAUUUACCCUAAGAAAGGGCAGAGAGGGGGAGGGAGAGGAUACCCCAGGAAGCCUCGAGAACGGUACAGUUUCUCCCACCUCGGAUCUGAGCAAGAGUCUAGGAUCACCCGAGGCUGCUCCUGCUCCAAGACCACACUCUGACCAUGUCUUCGGCAAGAAUACUGGAGCUGGUUGCUGUUCCCUUCUCCAGAGGAUCUUCCUGACCCAGGGACUGCACCCGGGUCUUCCGCGUCGCAGGCAGAUUCCUCACUGUCUAAGCCACCAGGGAAGCCCUGUGGAAGACAAGCUGAGGCAAGAGCGGAAGGCCGAGGGCUUUUUGUUCCUGUAGAUCUGCUGCAGGGGGUUAUCUCGGAGCAUCUGCCCCCCUCCAACGUCCACAGGUGGGAGGAACCGAGGGACUGCAGGCAGACCCUUGUGAGAGUGCUCCCACCCAGCCUACUCUUCCUUUCUGGUUUCCUGCUGGCCAUGGGGUCAGGGGAGAUGACAGGCAGGGACUGGCCGGCCCUUCCUGCUCCUCCUCUGGGAUAGAGACUCUGAUCUCUGGGGGAUCUGGAACAGAAGCCCAGCUCUGCCGGCUGCCCAGAGAGGGAUGAGAUUCUCGGUGCCUCUGUUUGAGAAUCUAUGUCUGGGUGUGCAUGAGUGCAUCAGUGCCUGGGGGCCAGCACUGUGGGGAGCCCCUGAAACCAGCCGGGGUGUCGGUAAAGGCCUCCUCCAGGGGCUGGAGAGGCCCCUUGGAGCAGUGGCUUCCUGCCUUCUCUUUCUUAUCUUUGUCACUCGCUGAGUUGUUGGGAAGUGCUUCCCUCCUUACACUUUCCACAUGGGGCUCUGAAGACCAGAGGGAUGCUGUGGACACUAAGGUUUCCCAGUGCCCAGGAUCCCAUCCCCUCCUUUUGUCAAGUCCCAGCCUCCUGUCCCUGACACCCAGGCCAAGGUGCCCCAGCCUCCUGUCCCUGACACCCAGGCCAAGGUGCCCCAAGGUGCCCAGGGGACUUCAGCCCUGACUCCAGACGAAGCCCAGUAGUCCAGGCCCACCUGGCUAUGUGAUUGGCUGAGAGGUGAGCACACGACCCAAGCCAAGCCAACCACACUCAACUCUGGGACUCUGUUAGGAUCUAGCACAGAAGCUCUUUCUUUCCCCCUCGCUAGGGAGUCGGCUUAAAACUCUAUAUUAAAACA